AUCAUGAUUUACAUUUGAGUGAGUGGCGAACUGGUGAGUAACACGUGGGAAACCUGCCCAGAAGCGGGGGAUAACACCUGGAAACAGAUGCUAAUACCGCAUAACAACUUGGACCGCAUGGUCCGAGCUUGAAAGAUGGCUUCGGCUAUCACUUUUGGAUGGUCCCGCGGCGUAUUAGCUAGAUGGUGGGGUAACGGCUCACCAUGGCAAUGAUACGUAGCCGACCUGAGAGGGUAAUCGGCCACAUUGGGACUGAGACACGGCCCAAACUCCUACGGGAGGCAGCAGUAGGGAAUCUUCCACAAUGGACGAAAGUCUGAUGGAGCAACGCCGCGUGAGUGAAGAAGGGUUUCGGCUCGUAAAACUCUGUUGUUAAAGAAGAACAUAUCUGAGAGUAACUGUUCAGGUAUUGACGGUAUUUAACCAGAAAGCCACGGCUAACUACGUGCCAGCAGCCGCGGUAAUACGUAGGUGGCAAGCGUUGUCCGGAUUUAUUGGGCGUAAAGCGAGCGCAGGCGGUUUUUUAAGUCUGAUGUGAAAGCCUUCGGCUCAACCGAAGAAGUGCAUCGGAAACUGGGAAACUUGAGUGCAGAAGAGGACAGUGGAACUCCAUGUGUAGCGGUGAAAUGCGUAGAUAUAUGGAAGAACACCAGUGGCGAAGGCGGCUGUCUGGUCUGUAACUGACGCUGAGGCUCGAAAGUAUGGGUAGCAAACAGGAUUAGAUACCCUGGUAGUCCAUACCGUAAACGAUGAAUGCUAAGUGUUGGAGGGUUUCCGCCCUUCAGUGCUGCAGCUAACGCAUUAAGCAUUCCGCCUGGGGAGUACGGCCGCAAGGCUGAAACUCAAAGGAAUUGACGGGGGCCCGCACAAGCGGUGGAGCAUGUGGUUUAAUUCGAAGCUACGCGAAGAACCUUACCAGGUCUUGACAUACUAUGCAAAUCUAAGAGAUUAGACGUUCCCUUCGGGGACAUGGAUACAGGUGGUGCAUGGUUGUCGUCAGCUCGUGUCGUGAGAUGUUGGGUUAAGUCCCGCAACGAGCGCAACCCUUAUUAUCAGUUGCCAGCAUUAAGUUGGGCACUCUGGUGAGACUGCCGGUGACAAACCGGAGGAAGGUGGGGAUGACGUCAAAUCAUCAUGCCCCUUAUGACCUGGGCUACACACGUGCUACAAUGGAUGGUACAACGAGUUGCGAACUCGCGAGAGUAAGCUAAUCUCUUAAAGCCAUUCUCAGUUCGGAUUGUAGGCUGCAACUCGCCUACAUGAAGUCGGAAUCGCUAGUAAUCGCGGAUCAGCAUGCCGCGGUGAAUACGUUCCCGGGCCUUGUACACACCGCCCGUCACACCAUGAGAGUUUG
rnacentral:rRNA from 2 species